CAUCCUGGGGCUGUAGUCGGUCCCAAGGGUAUGGCUGUUCGCCAUUUAAAGAGGUACGUGAGCUGGGUUUAAAACGUCGUGAGACAGUUUGGUCCCUAUCUUCCGUGGGCGCUGCAGAUUUGAGGAAGCCUGCUCCUAGUACGAGAGGACCGGAGUGGACACACCUCUGGUGUAUCGGUUGUCACGCCAGUGGCAUUGCCGAGUAGCUAAGUGUGGAAGAGAUAACCGCUGAAAGCAUCUAAGCGGGAAACUCGUUUCAAGAUGAGAUCUGCCGGGGCCUUGAGCCCCCUGAAGAGUCGUUCAAGACCAGGACGUUGAUAGGCUGGGUGUGGAAGCGCAGUAAUGCGUUAAGCUAACCAGUACUAAUUGCUCGUGAGGCUUGACCCU
rnacentral:rRNA from 1 species